UUGUGGAAAAACAGUGGCUCACUUCACAACAAUCUCGGUGAGCGCGUACGUUGCCGGGUCGCGGCGGAGCGGAGUCGCGAUGCCACUGCCGCUUGUUUCGAUCGCAGACGCAUUCGAUGUGUUAGCUCCACCCGCAACGCGAUCGCGAUUUGACUAAUGUGAAAAGAAUGCCAAGUACGUCCGUCGUCGUACGCUCCGCCAAGGAUGAUUGACACGAAGGACAAAGGAUCUCAAAGGGCGAGAAAUUCUGAUCGCGAACGACGCAAAUUUUGAAACAAGCGCAGUUCUUCGUGGCUUGACAUCCAACAUUUCCAUUAAGGGGAAAUAUAUAUAGCUACGUGUGUACAAUGUACGGAGCCAACAUGCAUUAUAAUGGCGUACGGGAAGUAGAAAUUGUCAGAUAUGCGAACAAUAUACUCCGCAUUUUUUGUUCCUUUUAUUAUUAUUUUUUUUUCCCAUCGAGGGACGGCGGAGUAAACGAUUUCCCGACACGUACGCAACAAUAUUCGCUGGCUUCGCCCUUUUUUUCCCACAUUUUGAUACGUGUCAGCUCGUCCUGCGGACGAUGGACCGGACGCUACGUGAGGCGGGGCAACGUAGCACAGACGAUAAAAGAGAGAGGAAGCUGCAGGGAACGGCGAUUGGCAACGGCGGGCUUCAAUAAGUGUCCGAGUUCGCUACAAUAGCCUCUGCAACAAAACGAUUGAAUCGCAAGUAUAACGGAUCGUGUUAUUAACCACCCGGCCGACGUGGUUAAAUACGGGGUUUUACGCUUUGACGUUGUAACAAAAAAAAUUAAUUUUGCUGUUAAUUAAUUCUCGUUUUAUUAAAAAGAAUAACCUUGUUGUUGCGUUUACUCAAAUUAUGACAAUACUGUUGGAAGGACAACACUGUAUUGUUUCUGUCGCUGCUCUAUGAAUAAUCAUGACAAGAGAGGCGCUUUCUAUUUUACAAUUUCACUGAAUGUUAUGAUUAUUCAUAUCAGCUAGGGGCGGAAAUAAUAAAUAAAAGCUGUAAAAUGCAUCUAAAGUUUCCUGCUGAAUUCAAUAUAUAGAGUGUUCCCAAACUACAGGAUAUCCUUUUAAUGAAAGAUAUUUCUAGCUAAUUUGUGAUCGAAUUUUUCUUCCCGGAUAUGUCGAGAGGAGGGGGGACCAUUGUUUAUUACAACUUUUCAAAAUUAUUACACGUUAUAUAGUUGUAUCUUUAAAUUAAAAUAAAUGCUAUUUAGCUUAAUUAAAAAAUAAAUAAACGUAAUUAAAUUAAAAAUAUAAUUAAAAUUAUAUUUUAAAAUAUAAAAUAAUUAUUUACAUUAUAUUUAAAAUUAUCGAUAUUUUCAUUAAGAUGAACUUAGAGUGUGAGCAAAGAAUCUUAUUAAAAAACUGUUUUUUAAGUGCAUAAGAAUUAAAGCUUCAAGUAUAUAUUGUCAAUAUUUUGUGAUAAAUGAGUAAAAUGAAUCGUAUUCUAUUA